AGAGAUUCCAGGUCAAUAUCAACGGAGGUGGUGAAAAGGCACCUCCCAAGGACAAUGGACGGAAAUCUGUUCAAAUUCGUGAUAUUGUAAAAACUUUUUUAUCCUUCAUGUUUGCAGGACUGAUUGGACUCAUAAUCAUUACAUUGCUGUUUCUGGUAUACCAGAAUUCACUAAAAAUUUAAUUUAUCUUGAGAGUAACUAGUUGUGAAAGAAUGUGCAAAAGAGGAAAAAAAUCUAAGAAAAGUUAAUUCUAAAAAAACAUUGUUCAUCAUUUGUUCACAGAUAUAAUUUGGUUUGAUAUUGUGUUUUCUAAUCAAGCGAAAUUUUACCGUGUUUUAGGUGUCCAAGUAUGAUUUAAUGCCACUAUCUUCAACCAAUCAAAUCACAGUUUCGGUAAAAAAGUUAACACAAUUUGAAGGUUUACUGAAAUAUAAAAUCAUAAGAGAAUCGUCCAUCUGAACAAACUUUUUCAAACUGUAAUACUAGAUUUGACAAACCAGAAAGAGUUUGUCUCAUUGCAGUUUGGCUUUUAGACUUGAGAGGUAAACAAGAAAAUCUUGUGUUAUGAAUAUUGUGAUACAUUUUGUGUUUCAGUUAAUAAGGAUAUAGCACAUCAAAUGCAAUCAGUCCUGUUUUUUUUUUUUCAAUCUGUUUUCUGACUUGUAUUUACUUUAAUCAAAUGUCAAAGAUGUUAUAGUUAAAAGUUUUUAUAUUAUGUCUUGUUAGUAAUGUUACAAUCCAGCUCAGAAUUUCUUGUAAAAUCAUGUUUUACUUCUUUAUUUUUUAUUUAUUAUUAUUAUUUUAUUUUCUCCUGUUUCUAUGAAUAAAAAAAAUUCUUGGUGAUAUGAAAUGAUCUUUUUGUUUGACAACUUCCUCAUAUCCUGUCCAAAGAAAAAUGUUAAAGGGAUAGGUCUAAAUACACAAACAAAUAAAUAAACAAACAAACAAAUAUUCGGUCAU